rnacentral:tRNA from 1 species
GGGGGUAUAGCUCAGUUAGUAGAGUGCUUGCCCCAUAUGCACAAGGCCCUAGGUUCCAUCCCUGGCACCACCA